CGUCACAAGAUAUGCGAUUCAACAUUGAUUUUGUUUGUUAGGAAAUGCGUAUUGGUCCCAAAUUAAUAUACAUGGUUAGUUACUUAGUAACGUUUCUGGGACUUGUGUUUAUGAUAGUGAUGGUUGUGAUUAUAGUUUUGAGCCGCUUAGAAAGAAAGGAAGACUUUGAAGCCAAUGUUGCGUAAACAUAGGCGUAUUUGUGGUUGCUUUCAGUGCCGAAACGCCUCGUAAUGUUAUUAGAAAUGGCUGAAAACUGCAAGGUACUAUGUUUGGAGAAAAAAGAGCCUGACAGAUGAAUGGAAUGCUGUAUACUAUGAUGUAGCUACUGAGUAGAUACAUAAAAGCAGCCAAGAUGAAGUCAUGAAUCUACCAAAAGAGUGCAACUUUGAACUGUGACUCAUCGAUGGCUGCCAUAAGAUGGAUGUGGUGAUGGUUUUAACCAGGCAAAGAAUGUUGCUGCAACAUGAAAAAAGUAGUUUGUUUUGUUAGAACAUGUAAAGGAAAAAUGUUAAGGUAAUAUUCUGAAAACAGGAUUUUUUACAGAAUAUAAUUAUCAUUUUCAAUAUGUCCAGUUAAUCUCUUUUUAAAACCAUUGUCUCUAAUAUUAUGUAAGUUAGAAAAUAUUCUAUAUUACCUUACU